rnacentral:rRNA from 1 species
GACGAACGCUGGCGGCGUGCUUAACACAUGCAAGUCGAACGGAGUGGCGAACGGGUGAGUAAAACGCGGGUGAUCUGCUCUGCACUUAGGGAAAAGAUUGGGGAACUGGGUCUAAAACCGGAUAGUGCAAGAUGAGCUCGCGGCCAAUCAGCUUGGUGGUGGGGUAAUGGCCUACCAAGGCGUGGACGGGUAGCCGGCCUGUGAGGGUGUACGGCUCCAUUGUGACUGAGAUACGGCCCAGAGGCCUACGGGGGGCAGCAGUGGGGAAUAUUGCGCAAUGGGCGGAAGCCUGAUGCAGCGACGCCGGGUGGGGGAUGAAGGCCUUCGGGUUGUAAACUCCUUUCGACUGGGACGCGGUACCUGUAUAAGAAGCACCGGCUAACUACGUGCCAGCAGCCGCGGUAAUAC